ACCAAGCCAUGAUGUUGUAGGAAUUGUCUGUAGAGCUCAGAGACAGGAUUGUGUCCAGGCACAGAUCUGAAGAAGGAUACCAAAACAUUUCUGCAGCAUUGAAGGUCCCAAAGAACACAGUGGCCUCCAUCAUUCUUAAAUGGAUGAAGUUUGGAGAGUAGGACUUUUAUUCUCUUAAAGAAGUUCGAUGGAAUUUAAACUGCAAACUUGGUGUUGGAGUCGUGCAUGGCCACACAGUCGUGGGUGAACAGGGAGUACAGAUGGGGACUAAGCACACACCCCCGAGGGCCCCUGUUUUUAUGGUCAGCAUGGUGGAUGUGUUGCCUACCGGCUACUGAAGGCUACACUCAGACAAGGCUGGUGGUCUGCUGUUGGCCACCCAUCUCUGUGUGAUUGAGAUAUGUGUGGUACAGUAUCUGCCGAUUUUAUAUCGUUUUUUUUUUUUUAGGUAAUGAAAAACAUUUUUUUUUAUACAAAUUGUGCUCCAAAGGAUUAAUAGACCCUAAAUUAUGAUUUCUUAACUACACUAAACAAAAAUAUAAAUGCAACAUGUAAAGUGUUGUUCCCAUGUUUCAUGAGUUGAAAUAAAAGAUCCCAG
rnacentral:lncRNA from 1 species